rnacentral:rRNA from 1 species
AUUGAACGCUGGCGGCAGGCCUAACACAUGCAAGUCGGGCGAGUGGCGGACGGGUGAGUAAUGUAUGGGGAUCUGCCUGAUGGAGGGGGAUAACUACUGGAAACGGUAGCUAAUACCGCAUACCAUCAGAUGAACCCAUAUGGGAUUAGCUUGUAGGUGAGGUAACGGCUCACCUAGGCGACGAUCCCUAGCUGGUCUAAGAGGAUGAUCAGCCACACUGGGACGGGGACACGGCACAGACCCCUACGGGAGGCAGCAGUGGGGAAUAUUGCACAAUGGGCGCAAGCCGGAUGCAGCCAUGCCGGGUGUAUGAAGAGGGCCUUCGGGUUGUAAAGUACUUUAAGUCGGGAGGCGUUAGCGACAGAAGAAGCACCGGCUAACUACGUGCCAGCAGCCGCGGUAAUAC